rnacentral:rRNA from 1 species
GAUGAACGCUAGCUACAGGCUUAACACAUGCAAGUCGAGGGGAAACGGCAUUAAGUGCUUGCACUUUUUGGACGUCGACCGGCGCACGGGUGAGUAACGCGUAUCCAACCUUCCCAUGACUAAGGGAUAACCUGCCGAAAGGCAGACUAAUACCUUAUGGUCUUCACUGACGGCAUCAGAUGUGAAGUAAAGAUUUAUCGGUUAUGGAUGGGGAUGCGUCUGAUUAGUUAGUUGGCGGGGUAACGGCCCACCAAGGCAACGAUCAGUAGGGGUUCUGAGAGGAAGGUCCCCCACAUUGGAACUGAGACACGGUCCAAACUCCUACGGGAGGCAGCAGUGAGGAAUAUUGGUCAAUGGGCGAGAGCCUGAACCAGCCAAGUAGCGUGCAGGAUGACGGCCCUAUGGGUUGUAAACUGCUUUUGUAUGGGGAUAAAGUCAAUCACGUGUGAUG